rnacentral:lncRNA from 1 species
UCCAGAGCUAACAGGAGCGACCCCCAGUUAUUCCAAGAUCCUGGCACCCUGGUGGUGAACGGGUCACAGCUCACGGCCCGGGAGGGCGACUCCCUGCGGUUCGUCUGCUCUGUCGCCAGCAACCCCCCCGCUGUGCUGGGCUGGGUGAGGGGGGGCCGAGCCAUCGAGGGCACCUGCCCCACANCAGCUCACGGCCCGGGAGGGCGACUCCCUGCGGUUCGUCUGCUCUGUCGCCAGCAACCCCCCCGCUGUGCUGGGCUGGGUGAGGGGGGGCCGAGCCAUCGAGGGCACCUGCCCCACAGAGGAGAAUCAGCUGCGGCUGGAGCUGCCCAACGUGACGGCCGAUGACAGGGGGCUGUACGGGUGCUGGGCCCAGAACAAGGAAAGCUCUGCCCAGGGGACGUUCCAGCUGCUCGUCGAGUGUGAGUGAGGUUAACCUCUAGGACGCUGACCCUGGAGAGUAGCAGUGUUAAUCCGUGGGA